CCGAAUACCCUAUUUUUCUCAAAUUAUACAAACUAAAACUACUUGAUCAUCAAACAUCACUAUCAACAACCUUACACCACCUACAAGAUGUGAAUAACUAACCUACAUGAUAUUGAAACUCCUCACAUAUUACAGUUUCUAUCUAAAAUAUGCUAUAACAGGAAUUGCACUGAUUUACAAGUUAGGUUGAGACUAUAGAGGUAAUUACUCUAGACAUUUAAAAAAACCAAGAUAUCAAAGGGAAAACCUUUCACAAAGUAAACAAACCCAUAAACAUCUCGUCGGAGAAUUCCAUCGAACAGUCAGUAUUCAUCUAAAACAAAGGUAAUAGUGAAUGUAUUAUAUUUUAAUGACAACCAAGAAAAGUAUAAUAUUGUUUAGCGACUUAAGGCAAAAAAGAUAAAUGAAAAAACGAAUAAAAAACACUUAAUUUCGAAAGUCACGAGAUUUCAAAAUGAGAGACAAAUGACUUACAAUUGUAGAAGGCUC
rnacentral:lncRNA from 1 species